rnacentral:rRNA from 1 species
UGGUAAUUCUAGAGCUAAUACAUGCUAAAAACCCCGACUUCGGAAGGGGUGUAUUUAUUAGAUAAAAAACCAAUGCCCUUCGGGGCUCCUUGGUGAUUCAUAAUAACUUAACGAAUCGCAUGGCCUUGCGCCGGCGAUGGUUCAUUCAAAUUUCUGCCCUAUCAACUUUCGAUGGUAGGAUAGUGGCCUACCAUGGUAUCAACGGGUAACGGGGAAUUAGGGUUCGAUUCCGGAGAGGGAGCCUGAGAAACGGCUACCACAUCCAAGGAAGGCAGCAGGCGCGCAAAUUACCCAAUCCCAAUUCGGGGAGGUAGUGACAAUAAAUACUGAUACAGGGCUCUUUUGGGUCUUGUAAUUGGAAUGAGUACAAUUUAAAUCCCUUAACGAGGAACAAUUGGAGGGCAAGUCUGGUGCCAGCAGCCGCGGUAAUUCCAGCUCCAAUAGCGUAUAUUAAAGUUGUUGCAGUUAAAAAGCUCGUAGUUGAACCUUGGGCCUGGCUAGCCGGUCCGCCUCACCGCGUGUACUGGUCCGGCUGGGCCUUUCCUUCUGGGGAUCCGCAUGCCCUUCACUGGGUGUGUCGGGGAACCAGGACUUUUACUGUGAAAAAAUUAGAGUGUUCAAAGCAGGCCUUCGCUCGAAUACAUUAGCAUGGAAUAAUAGAAUAGGACGUUGCGGUUCUAUUUUGUUGGUUUCUAGGACCGCCGUAAUGAUUAAUAGGGAUAGUCGGGGGCAUCAGUAUUCAAUUGUCAGAGGUGAAAUUCUUGGAUUUAUUGAAGACUAACUACUGCGAAAGCAUUUGCCAAGGAUGUUUUCAUUAAUCAGGAACGAAAGUUAGGGGAUCGAAGACGAUCAGAUACCGUCGUAGUCUUAACCAUAAACUAUGCCGACUAGGGAUCG